UACGAAGGGGGCUAGCGUUGUUCGGAAUUACUGGGCGUAAAGCGUGCGCAGGCGGCCAUUUAAGUCAGAGGUGAAAGCCUGGGGCUCAACCCCAGAACUGCCUUUGAGACUGGAUGGCUGGAGUGCGGGAGAGGUGAGUGGAAUUCCCAGUGUAGAGGUGAAAUUCGUAGAUAUUGGGAAGAACACCCGUGGCGAAGGCGGCUCACUGGCCCGUAACUGACGCUCAGGCACGACAGCGUGGGGAGCAAACAGG
rnacentral:rRNA from 1 species